rnacentral:rRNA from 1 species
AUGCUGCCGGCCGGCGUCAAGUUCGAUCCCAUAGAUCAGGAGCUGAUCGAGCACCUUGAGGCCAAAGUGAGUGUUGACAGUGCGAGGUCUCACCCUCUCAUCGAUUUGUUCAUACCAACCAUCGACAACGAGCACGGCAUAUGCUACACCCAACCUGAGAAACUUCCAGGUAUCACACUGAGUGGCCUAAGGAAGCAUUUCUUCCAGCGCAAUUCCAGGGCAUUCAGAAGGGGCACGUGGACGCAUUGCAAGAUACAGUCGAAGUGCGGCAUGCACGCGAUGUGGCACAAGACUGGCAAUACCUUGCCAGUGAUGGUCAACGGCCGGCAGAUGGGCAUCAAAAAGGUUCUGGUGCUGCACACCAACAAGAACUUUGACCACCAAAGGACCAAUUGGGUGAUGCACCAGUACCACCUCGGGGACCUAGAGCAAGAGAAGGAGCGGGGGCUGGUCCUCUGCAAGAUUUUCUACCAGACAAACACUAGGGUCAGGAGUAAAAAGAUUAUAAGUUAG